GCAGAGCACUCCACGGGAGGCAGCAGUGGGGAAUAUUGCACAAUGGGCGCAAGCCUGAUGCAGCCAUGCCGCGUGUAUGAAGAAGGCCUUCGGGUUGUAAAGUACUUUCAGCAGUGAGGAAGGUGGGUAUGUUAAUAGCAUACUCAUUUGACGUUAGCUGCAGAAGAAGCACCGGCUAACUCCGUGCCAGCAGCCGCGGUAAUACGGAGGGUGCGAGCGUUAAUCGGAAUUACUGGGCGUAAAGCGCAUGCAGGUGGUUUGUUAAGUCAGAUGUGAAAGCCCGGGGCUCAACCUCGGAAUUGCAUUUGAAACUGGCAAACUAGAGUACUGUAGAGGGGGUAGAAUUUCAGGUGUAGCGGUGAAAUGCGUAGAGAUCUGAAGGAAUACCGGUGGCGAAGGCGGCCCCCUGGACAGAUACUGACACUCAGAUGCGAAAGCGUGGGGAGCAAACAGGAUUAGAUACCCUGGUAG
rnacentral:rRNA from 1 species